GCCCACGGCCAGGUCGGUGUAGCCGUCGCCGUUGUAGUCGCCGGGCGCGGUGUGGGAGCCGAACUGGUCGUCGGUCUCGGCGGCGCCGGGGACGCC
rnacentral:tRNA from 2 species